UACGGAGGGUGCAAGCGUUAAUCGGAAUUACUGGGCGUAAAGCGUGCGUAGGCGGUUCGUUAAGUCUGCUGUGAAAGCCCCGGGCUCAACCUGGGAAUGGCAGUGGAUACUGGCGAGCUAGAGUGUGUCAGAGGAUGGUGGAAUUCCCGGUGUAGCGGUGAAAUGCGUAGAGAUCGGGAGGAACAUCAGUGGCGAAGGCGGCCAUCUGGGACAACACUGACGCUGAGGCACGAAAGCGGGGGGAGCAAACA
rnacentral:rRNA from 1 species